CGUCCAGGUCCUCCCCUCACGUUGGGCCCCCGGGGACUGGAGUGGGGUCUGCGUGUCAGUUCCCUCAGGGCUGUGAGACUCGGGUCCUCUCUUUCUGUCUCUCACUCGGAAGAAGUACGCUGCCUUUCUUCUCCUAGAUUCACUCAUGUCUUCAGCUGCCCGGCCUCAGCUGUGAUGCUGUGAUCACCCUUCCCAGCCUCGGCACUUUUCUCGGGUGUUCCAGCGUCCAGGCCCUGUUACUCAACGGGCCUGCAUGUCCCGGGCUGGGGCCUGGUAUGGGUUCUGCCUCGCUGAGAAUCCUGGCUCUUCUCAGCUAAUCAUGCUCCUCGUUCACCCCAAGUCUAGUUAGGUCCUGAGUUCAAAUCCCAGCAACCACAUGGUGGCUCACAACCAUCUUUAAUGAGAUCUGAUGCCCUCUUCUGGUGUGUCUGAAGACAGCUACAAACUGGAGAGAUGGCUCAGCAGUUAAGAGCACCGACUGCUCUUCCAGAGGUCCUGAGUUCAAUUCCAGCAACCACAUGGUGGCUCACAACCAUCUGUAAUGGGAUCCGGUGCCCUCUUCUGGUGUGUCUGAAGACAGCGAGAAUGUGCUCACAUAC
ensembl:lncRNA